AUGUCACUGGACACGCCCAUCCAGUCGGUGAUGUCAUUGCCCAUGCUGAUGAUGUCAUUGGCCACACCCAUCCUCUCACUGAUGUCAUUGGCCUCACCCAUCCUGUCAGUGAUGUCAUUGUCCACACCCAUCCUGUCGGUGACGUCAUUGGCUGUGUCCGUUCUGCCAUUGGCCGCCCGCGGCCUCCCAAUGACGUCACUGACUUUGCCGGCCACGCCCAUCUGGCUGAUGAUGCGAUUGGCCACGCCAAUUGGGCGUGUCCAUUGGGUGUGUCCAUUGGGCGUGUCCAUUGGGCGUGUCCAUUGGGCGUGUCCAUUGGGCGUGUCCAUUGGGCGUGUCCAUUGGGUGUGUCCAUUGGGUGUAUCAUUGGGUGUGUCCAUGGGCGUGUCCAUUGGGUGUGUCCAUGGGCGUGUCCAUUGGGUGUGUCCAUGGGUGUGUCCAUUGGGUGUGUCCAUUGGGUGUGUCCAUUGGGCGUGUCCAUUGGGCGUGUCCAUUGGGUGUGUCCAUUGGGCGUGUCCAUUGGGUGUGUCCCAGGUGGGCGUGUCCAUUGGGCGUGUCCAUUGGGUGUAUCCAUUGGGUGUGUCCAUUGGGUGUGUCCAUGUCCAUGGGCGUCUCCAUUGGGUGUCUCCAUUGGGUGUGUCCAUUGGGCGUGUCCAUUGGGUGUGUCCAUUGGGUGCAUCAUUGGGUGUGUCCAUUGGGUGUCUCAUUGGGUGUCUCCAUUGGGUGUGUCCAUUGGGUGUGUCCAUUGGGUGUGUCCAUUGGUCAUGUCCAUUGGGCGUGUCCAUUGGGUGUGUCCAUUGGGUGUGUCCAUUGGGCGUGUCCAUUGGGUGUGUCCAUUGGGUGUGUCCAUUGGGUGUGUCCAUUGGGCGUGUCCAUUGGGUUUAUCCAUUGGGCGUGUCCAUUGGGUGUGUCCAUUGGGAAUGUCCAUUGGGUGUGUCCAUGGGUGUGUCCAUGGGUGUGUCCAUUGGGUGUGUCCCAGGUGGGCGUGUCCCAGGUGGGCGUGUCCCAGAUGGGCGUGUCCAGGUGGGCGUGUCCCGGGCUCAGCCCCGCCCCCUCAGCCGCAGGUAACCGCCCCCGCUGACCAACGCCAGGGCCCCGCCCAGCCCGGCCAGCACCGGGCAAUGACCGGGACGGCCACCGAGCACCCCUGGGUGGCCACCGAGCACCCCUGGGUGGUCACCGAGCACCCCCGGGUGGCCACCGAGCACCCCUGGGUGGUCACUCAGGUCCCCAGGGUGGUCACCGCUGGCCAGGAACAGCCCCGCCCCCAUCAGCGCCGAAAUCCCUGCGGGGACACCCGGGGGGACAUCAGGAUGGGGACAUUUAUGUGGGGGUGACAUCGACGUGGGGGUGACAUCGACGUGGGGGUGACAUCGAUGUGGGGGUGACAUUGACAUGGGGGUGACAUCGAUGUGGGGGUGACAUCGAUGGGGGGGUGACAUCGAUGUGGGGGUGACAUCAAUGUGGGAGUGACAUCCAAGGGGGGGUGACACAGGAGGGUGACAUUGUGGGGGGACACGGGGUGGGACUGCAGGAGGGACACCGGGGGUGGUGACACUGGGGGGGGACAAUGGGGGCUGACAUUGGUGGGGGACAUGGGGUGGGGGUGACACCAGGGGUGACACCAGAGGGAGGGGUGACACUGGGGGGGUGACACCGAAGGGGGGGGUGACACCGGGGGUGACACUGGAGGGGUGGGUGACACUGGGGGGGUGACAUUGGUGGGGGACACAGGGUGGGGGUGACACUGGGGGUGGGGGGUGACACUGGAGGGGUGACAUUGGUGGGGGACAGGGGAAUUUGGGGGGUCCCAGGUGAAUUUUGGGGGGUCCCAGGUGAAUUUUGGGAGGGUCCCAGGGGAAUUUGGGGGAUCCCAGGGGAAUUUGGGGGGGUCCCAGGGGAGUUUGGAGUGUCCCAGGUGAGUUUGGUGGGGGUCCCAGGUGAGUUUGGGGGGUCCCAGGUGAGUUUGGGGGGGUCCCAGGUGAGUUUGGGGGGGUCCCAGGGGAUUUUUGGGGGUGGCAGGGGUUUUGGGGACCCCCGUUUUUGGGGGUCCCUGGGGAUUUUUGGGGGGUCCCAGGGAUUUUUGGGGGUCCCAGGGUAUUUUUGGGGGGUCCCAAGGGGAUUUUUGGGGGUCCCAGGGACUUUUAGGGGCUCUCAAGGGAUUUUUGGGGGGUCCCGGGGUAUUUUGGGGUCCCAGGGGUUUUGGGGACCCCCGUUUUUGGGGUGCAGACCUGCCAGCAGCUGCGCGGCGGCCGCGGGGAGGAAGAGGCGGCCGCGGGGCCCCCCCAGCAGCUGCCCGAGGAAGAGGAGGAGGCCGAAGGCCGAGAGCAGCAGCGCCGUCACCAUCAGCCCCUGAACCCCCCUGAGCAGCGCUGGGGGGCGGUGGGACCCCGUCAGACCCCCGAAAACGAGCAUGGCACCCCAAAAUACAGCAUGGAC
rnacentral:lncRNA from 1 species